UCGAUGUCUAACUUCUUGGGGACUCCGC
rnacentral:sRNA from 1 species